rfam:BtNv-AlphaCoV/SC2013, complete genome
UCGGUCUUGUGCACAACGGUAAGCCAGUGGUCAUGUCAGCACAAUGAAGGAUAUGACCAUGUUG